AUUGAACGCUGGCGGCAGGCCUAACACAUGCAAGUCGAGCGGAGCGGCGGACGGGUGAGUAAUGCCUAGGAAUCUGCCUGGUUGUGGGGGAUAGCGUCCGGAAAUGGGCGCUAAUACCGCAUACUAUCAGAUGAGCAUAGGGGGGAUUAGCUAGUUGGUGGGGUAAAGGCCUACCAAGGCGAGGAACCGUAACUGGUCUGAGAGGAGGAUCAGUCACACUGGGACUGAGAAAGGGCCCAGAUUCUUACGGGAGGCAGCAGUAGGGAAUUUUGGGCAAGGGGCGAAAGCCUGACCGAGCAACGCGGCGUGAGGGAAGAAGGUUUUCGGGUCGUAAAACUCUGUUGUUAGGGAAGCGGUAUCUAACCAGAAAGCCACGGCUAACUACGUGCCAGCAGCCGCGGUAAUUC
rnacentral:rRNA from 1 species